GGCUCACGCGUGGCCGGGAAGGCAAGAGGGCUCCUGUGAGAGGCAAAUUGGCUCAUCUCCAACUCGAUCCCUGUUCGCCACUGCCUCACGAGCUCUUUGGCCACUUCCGCAAUUCCAGGUUGCGCUGUUGACGGAAACGCGCUGACAAAUGAGAACGGUAAGGCCCGAUUAGAGGAGGCCUUGGGUCAGUGGUACAAUACUAUAGACAGUUUUGUCGACCAACUCAUAAAACAAGCGAAGGAGUCUGUACAGAAGAAGUAAACAGUCGAGUUUGAAAAUGCAAGAGGAGUUUCCAGCAGAGCUCAGUUACAAACGAGCUAGCUGCCGAACGUUUAUGGGCUCAACUACAGACUGAUCCCCUUCCAGGAUUCCUUUUCCAAGCACGUAAUUUGCGGCCUCCGAAGUAUGGUAUGGAUCCCAGAAAAAAUGUUCCGUCCUGUUGGAGCAAACCGAGACAGAAGGGAUGCAUGAGAUCAGACCUCUGUAUGGGCCACCAGCGCCACAGCAGGCCGUGUCGCUGUUUGCAAAUCCUGCAAGGGGGAGGAACAUUCAGCUCAGAAACUUCAAAACUUCACAAGCAUGGCGAAGCUCCUACCGUAAGUUUGAAUAUCUUUGUAUUCUAUGAUGUGUAGCAACUGUUGGGAAAGGAUGGGAAAGCUGGCAUCAAUCAGUUUGUUGCGGUAGCCCAUGGAUAGAUGUAUGACAUUAUAGUCAGCAUUCCAGAAUCAAUCCUAAGAUAAAUUUGUUUAGUA